UGAAGCCGGAAUUGCUAGUAAUGGCAGGUCAGCAUACUGCCGUGAAUACGUUCCCGGGCCUUGUACACACCGCCCGUCACACCAUGAGAGUUGGGAAUACCCGAAGCCUGUGAGCUAACGUUAAGAGGCAGCAGUCGAAGGUAGAAUCAAUGAUUGGGGUGAAGUCGUAACAAGGUAAC
rnacentral:rRNA from 1 species